GAUCAUGGCUCAGGAUGAACGCUAGCUACAGGCUUAACACGUGCAAGUCGAGGGGCAGCAUCAUCAAAGCUUGCUUUGAUGGAUGGCGACCGGCGCACGGGUGAGUAACACGUAUCCAACCUGCCGACAACACUGGGAUAGCCUUUCGAAAGAAAGAUUAAUACCGGAUGGUAUAGUUUUCCCGCAUGGGGUGACUAUUAAAGAAUUUCGGUUGUCGAUGGGGAUGCGUUCCAUUAGGCAGUUGG
rnacentral:rRNA from 1 species